rnacentral:rRNA from 1 species
GACGAACGCUGGCGGCGUGCUUAACACAUGCAAGUCGAACGGAAAGGCCCUGCUUUUGUGGGGUGCUCGAGUGGCGAACGGGUGAGUAACACGUGAGUAACCUGCCCUUGACUUUGGGAUAACUUCAGGAAACUGGGGCUAAUACCGGAUAGGAGCUCCUGCUGCAUGGUGGGGGUUGGAAAGUUUCGGCGGUUGGGGAUGGACUCGCGGCUUAUCAGCUUGUUGGUGGGGUAGUGGCUUACCAAGGCUUUGACGGGUAGCCGGCCUGAGAGGGUGACCGGCCCGAUUGGAACAGGAAAAAGACCCAGGGCCCUCAGGGAGGGCAAUGUGGGGAAUAUUCGAAAAAGGGCGGAAACCGGAGGUGACAACGGCGGGCGCGGGAAGGCGGCCUUGGGGUUGAAAACCCCUUUCGCUUGGGGCGAAGCUGGAAGGACGUAAAGGGGAAAAGGAACCCCGGGUAAUCUGUU